rnacentral:tRNA from 1 species
GAGAUAAACUAAUGAACUGCUAAUUCAUAACUCCGUAUUUAACCAUACGGUUAUCUCA